rnacentral:RNase_P_RNA from 1 species
AAUGCAAGCCGCUUUGUCGUCUCGGCUAAGCCGAGAAGGAAAGUCCGGACACCAAAGAGCAGCAUAGCGGGUAACGCCCGCCGUCUCGGCAUUAGCCGGGAAAGGACAAGUGCAACAGAAAGCAAGUACAGUUCGGCUGUAGUGAAAUCAGGUAAACUCUAUGCGGUGCAAUGCCAUGUAUAUCGGUUUCCGAUUCGUCGGAUAGGGCUGCUCGUCCGAUACCGAGGGGUAGGCAGAUAGAUCUCGUUGGCAACAACGAGGCCAGAUAAAUGACAAAGAUCCGCCGUAGGCGGAUACAGAAUCCGGCUUAUAGGCUUGCAUUUUUU